CCUACGGGAGACAGCAGUGAGGAAUAUUGGUCAAUGGGCGAGAGCCUGAACCAGCCAAGUCGCGUGAGGGAGUACUGCCCUAUGGGUUGUAAACCUCUUUUGUCGGGGAGCAAAAGCCGGACGUGUCCGGCUGUGAGAGUACCCGAAGAAAAAGCAUCGGCUAACUCCGUGCCAGCAGCCGCGGUAAUACGGAGGAUGCGAGCGUUAUCCGGAUUUAUUGGGGUUAAAGGGUGCGCAGGCGGAUUUUUAAGUCAGCGGUCAAAUCGUGGGGCUCAACCCCAUCCAGCCGUUGAAACUGGCGAUCUAGAGUGUGCGAGAGGUAUGCGGAAUGCGUGGUGUAGCGGUGAAAUGCAUAGAUAGCACGCAGAACCCCGAUUGCGAAGGCAGCAUACCGGUGCACAACUGACGCUCAGGCACGAAAGCGUGGGUAUCGAACAGGAUUAGAUACCCGAGUAGUC
rnacentral:rRNA from 1 species